rnacentral:rRNA from 1 species
AUUGAACGCUGGCGGAAUGCUUUACACAUGCAAGUCGAGCGGCAGCACGGGGGCAACCCUGGUGGCGAGCGGCGAACGGGUGAGUAAUACAUCGGAACAUGCCCAGUCGUGGGGGAUAACACUUCGAAAGAAGUGCUAAUACCGCAUACGUCCUGAGGGAGAAAGCGGGGGAUCGCAAGACCUCGCGCGAUUGGAGUGGCCGAUGUCAGAUUAGCUAGUUGGUGGGGUAAAGGCCUACCAAGGCAACGAUCUGUAGCUGGCCUGAGGGGAUGAUCAGCCACCCUGGGGCUGAGACCGGGCCCAGGCCCCUAGGGGGGGCCGAGGUGGGGAAUUUUGGAAAAGGGGGGGAACCCUGACCCAGCCACUCCGGGGGGGUGAAGAAGGCCCUCGGGUUGUAAAGCUUUUUGGGCGGGAAAAAAAGGGGGGGCUUUAAAAUAGCUUGCUAUUGCCGGUACCUGAAAAAAAAGCCCCGGCUACCUCCGG